rnacentral:rRNA from 1 species
CCCUUAGAUGUCCUGGGCUGCACGCGCGCUACACUGAUGUGUCCAGUAAGCACCUAACCUCUUCCGAAAGGAACGGGUAACCUUUGCAAAGCACAUCGUGAUGGGGAUAGAUUAUUGCAAUUAUUAGUCUUGAACGAGGAAUUCCUAGUAAGCACAAGUCAUCAGCUUGUGUUGAUUACGUCCCUGCCGUUUGUACACACCGCCCGUCGCUCCUACCGAUUGAAUGUUCCGGUGAGCUCUUCGGACUGCGCGGUCUGCAGUUUCUGCGUUCCGUGCGGAAAGUUGCGCAAACCUUAACAUUUAGAGGAAGGAGAAGUCGUAACA